UAAUGGGACUGAAUCUGGGAUUUUUUUGAGUUUUCGAUAGUCGUUAUAAGGAUAAGUUUUUAUUUUUAUGAUUUCGGUUGGCUAUUGGAACUGAAUGAGGGAUCUAGGUAAAGUUUUCCAGGGGAAAGAAUCAAUUUAGGGCUGUGAAUAUGUGAUUUUUGCAGUUUUAAUGUUGGUUUUACUUUGCAGCAAGCAGAAGUUUUAAGGAUCAACAAACUUUAAAAUGGAGGAAAACUAUGGAGCUAAGGUGGGUGGCAUGUGUGGACUGCAGAACAUUUUGAGAACGAAAGACAAAUAAUGACGUAAUGGAAGGAUCUAUCUUUGCUUCUAUUCCAACAACAUUAUUUUGGAUGGCUUAUAUUGCUUGUUUGUUGCUUACAUGGAGUUGAUGGGGUCAGUUAUCUCUCAUUACAAGGAAUCAGUAACACCUCCAAGGAAUCAACCUGUCUAAUUUUAGGCCAUUUGGAAGGCUUUGGCGGGACUACUUUUAAUUUUUUACCAAUAAGGUGAAUCUACUUCUAUUUUUACGCAAAUUUAUUAUUAUUGGAUGGUGUGUUUUAAACUUAGUAAUAUUAACAUUGCUUGAUUUAUGACAGUGAAUGACGGAAGUUAAUGGUUGCAUGAGAUUGGAACAAUCUAUACUUUGGUCUAAAAUUGAUUCCGGUGUUUAGAAAUUUUGCGAACAUGUCAAUGGUUAAG